UACGAAGGGGGCUAGCGUUGCUCGGAAUCACUGGGCGUAAAGCGCACGUAGGCGGACUCUUAAGUCGGUGGUGAAAUCCUGGAGCUCAACUCCAGAACUGCCUUUGAUACUGAGAAGCUUGAGUCCGGGAGAGGUGAGUGGAACUGCGAGUGUAGAGGUGAAAUUCGUAGAUAUCGUAAGGAAGACCAGUGGCGAAGGCGGGUCUCUGGACAGUUCCUGACGCUGAGGCACGAAGGUCAGGGGAGCAAACGGG
rnacentral:rRNA from 1 species